rnacentral:tmRNA from 1 species
CCCCUUUUCUUGAGACCUGUUAACACCUAUAUGUCACAUGCCGUCUUCGGGCGGCUAUGGCGAUAAACAGGCGAUGAAAUAAACCUAUUGGACCCGGGGGCGGUACCCGGCGCCUCCACCAAAAACCGGUCGGACAUGUCUUGCGGACCGGCUUUUGAUGGGGGCGAAAUAGGAUCGACAAGGGUGUAAAGAUCGACUUUUCGCUCGGCAUUGUACCACCGUUAUCGGGCUAAAAUUGUAGUUGCAAACGACAACUAUGCGGAAGCUCGUCUCGCUGCUUAAUCGCGGUGUGACACUUCAAAUCAAGUCCUAAGGGGUCGCACUCUUAGGCGGGGUCCGAAGGCACCUGGCAACAGAAGCCUUCACC